GGUUGUGGCUCAGUGGUACAGCACUUGCCUAACAUGUGUGAGGCACUGGGUUCAAUUCUCAGCACCA
rnacentral:tRNA from 1 species